GAAAAAUAUAAUUUUUAUAAACACAAGAUUCCAUGUUGCCGAAAUAAAAUUAGAUAAGCGUAUUUCUACAUGUUUGUGAGAUUAGCUGGCAAAGCUUCUGUAUAAUGGAAAGCUAUGAUGAAUUCGAUUGAGCAACUUGCUCACUGUAGUGAAUCCAUAAUGACAUGAGAUACUCAUUAGUUAUCUAUUUACGCUGAUAAGUUUAUAUCAUUGAUCUUGUUACUAUACCUGAAGCAGUCACAUAAGUAUUUGUCAUAUGCAUUUGAUUAUCAAUGUGUUAACAUCUAUUUUUUUUUUUGGGUGUAAUUUCACUAAAGUGUGAGUUCUUGUAUGUUUUAAUUAAGUUGUCAACAGUUAUUAGUUCUUACAUUAGUCACUAAAUUGCUGAUAAUGUGUAGUAAGAGGUUAUGUGACUGGAAGUACUGAUACAUCCUUAUGGACGGUAUACAAAAACGGCGUGAGGAAUUACUGUGGAAAUAUACUACCAGAUGACUUGGUAAAAAGCCAAAGAUUACCAGCAAACAUACUUACUCCGACAACUAAGGCUGCAGAUCAUGAUGUGCCCGUAACUCCAUAUGAGAGCUUCAGUUUAUAUGAAGCAGAUAGUGAAAAGGGGGCUGAUGACUCAAGAUGAAUACGAUGAAGCAAGUACAAAAGCACUAAGCUUAUUUGUAUAUGGACAGGCAAUUGCGGAGGCAACUCAGGAUGUCACCGGUGGUGAGAGUUCGGAGAAUGACAUUGAUGGGGAUGAUGAUGGUGAUGGCGAUGAGGAAGAUUGAAAUGAAGCUACCUAGUUAGAUGCAUUAUUGGUAGGGAUGCUGAUUUUGUUAAAAUAUUGCUUUUGGCUUUUGAUUGUUCAGCUAUAACGUAUAUGAUUGUUGGCUUUUGGCUGAUUGUUCAGCUGUAACAUUUAUGUCGUACUGAAUUUUAUAACUGUUCUUGUUUAAAUAUAUGAAUGCUUGUUGGCUUUUAAAUUAUGUCGUACUGAAUUUUGAUGGAUAUGAUUCUUG